rnacentral:rRNA from 1 species
GACGAACGCUGGCGGCGUGCUUAACACAUGCAAGUCGAGCGGUAAGGCCCUUUCGGGGGUACACGAGCGGCGAACGGGUGAGUAACACGUGGGUGACCUGCCCUCAGCUCUGGGAUAAGCCUGGGAAACUGGGUCUAAUACUGGAUAUGACUCCACGAUGCAUGUCGUGGGGUGGAAAGCCUUGUGCGGCUGAGGAUGGGCCCGCGGCCUAUCAGCUUGUUGGUGGGGUGAUGGCCUACCAAGGCGACGACGGGUAGCCGGCCUGAGAGGGCGACCGGCCACACUGGGACUGAGACACGGCCCAGACUCCUACGGGAGGCAGCAGUGGGGAAUCUUGCGCAAUGGGCGAAAGCCUGACGCAGCGACGCCGCGUGAGGGAUGACGGCCU